GUGUGUGGUACCUUGCUCUAGACAGUGAUAAUCAUGCAUAAUUAAAUAUGAUUGACACCUCUACAAGUGGAGUAACACAUAU
rfam:Macaca mulatta chromosome X, whole genome shotgun sequence.